rnacentral:snRNA from 1 species
UCUACGAGUCGGGUUGUUUG